rnacentral:ncRNA from 13 species
CACAAUUAUUUAAUGGUGCGACAAUAUUUACAUGGUAAUUCACAAUUAUUUAAUGGUGCGCCUCUCAGUGCGUAUAUUUCGUUGAUGCGUCUAGCAUUAGUAUUAUGAAUCAUCAAUAGAUACUUAAAACAUAUGACUAACUCAGUAGGGGCUAACUUUACGGGGACAAUAGCAUGUCAUAAAACACCUAUGAUUAGUGUAGGUGGAGUUAAGUGUUACAUGGUUAGGUUAACGAACUUCUUACAAGUCUUUAUCAGGAUUACAAUUUCCUCUUAUCAUUUGGAUAUAGUAAAACAAGUUUGAUUAUUUUACGUUGAGGUAAUCAGAUUAUGAUUCAUUGUUUUAGAUAGCACAGGCAGUGUGAAAAAGAUGAAGGACCUAAAUAACACAAAAGGAAAUACGAAAAGUGAGGGAUCAACUGAAAGAGGAAACUCUGGAGUUGACAGAGGUAUAGUAGUACCGAAUACUCAAAUAAAAAUGAGAUUUUUAAAUCAAGUUAGAUACUAUUCAGUAAAUAAUAAUUUAAAAAUAGGGAAGGAUACCAAUAUUGAGUUAUCAAAAGAUACAAGUACUUCGGACUUGUUAGAAUUUGAGAAAUUAGUAAUAGAUAAUAUAAAUGAGGAAAAUAUAAAUAAUAAUUUAUUAAGUAUUAUAAAAAACGUAGAUAUAUUAAUAUUAGCAUAUAAUAGAAUUAAGAGUAAACCUGGUAAUAUAACUCCAGGUACAACAUUAGAAACAUUAGAUGGUAUAAAUAUAAUAUAUUUAAAUAAAUUAUCAAAUGAAUUAGGAACAGGUAAAUUCAAAUUUAAACCCAUGAGAAUAGUUAAUAUUCCUAAACCUAAAGGUGGUAUAAGACCUUUAAGUGUAGGUAAUCCAAGAGAUAAAAUUGUACAAGAAGUUAUAAGAAUAAUUUUAGAUACAAUUUUUGAUAAAAAGAUAUCAACACAUUCACAUGGUUUUAGAAAGAAUAUAAGUUGUCAAACAGCAAUUUGAGAAGUUAGAAAUAUAUUUGGUGGAAGUAAUUGAUUUAUUGAAGUAGACUUAAAAAAAUGUUUUGAUACAAUUUCUCAUGAUUUAAUUAUUAAAGAAUUAAAAAGAUAUAUUUCAGAUAAAGGUUUUAUUGAUUUAGUAUAUAAAUUAUUAAGAGCUGGUUAUAUUGAUGAGAAAGGAACUUAUCAUAAACCUAUAUUAGGUUUACCUCAAGGAUCAUUAAUUAGUCCUAUCUUAUGUAAUAUUGUAAUAACAUUGGUAGAUAAUUGAUUAGAAGAUUAUAUUAAUUUAUAUAAUAAAGGUAAAGUUAAAAAACAACAUCCUACAUAUAAAAAAUUAUCAAGAAUAAUUGCAAAAGCUAAAAUAUUUUCGACAAGAUUAAAAUUACAUAAAGAAAGAGCUAAAGGCCCACUAUUUAUUUAUAAUGAUCCUAAUUUCAAGAGAAUAAAAUACGUUAGAUAUGCAGAUGAUAUUUUAAUUGGGGUAUUAGGUUCAAAAAAUGAUUGUAAAAUAAUCAAAAGAGAUUUAAACAAUUUUUUAAAUUCAUUAGGUUUAACUAUAAAUGAAGAAAAAACUUUAAUUACUUGUGCAACUGAACUACCAGCAAGAUUUUUAGGUUAUAAUAUUUCAAUUACACCUUUAAAAAGAAUACCUACAGUUACUAAACUAAUUAGAGGUAAACUUAUUAGAAGUAGAAAUACAACUAGACCUAUUAUUAAUGCACCAAUUAGAGAUAUUAUCAAUAAAUUAGCUACUAAUGGAUAUUGUAAGCAUAAUAAAAAUGGUAGAAUAGGAGUGCCUACAAGAGUAGGUAGAUGACUAUAUGAAGAACCUAGAACAAUUAUUAAUAAUUAUAAAGCGUUAGGUAGAGGUAUCUUAAAUUAUUAUAAAUUAGCUACUAAUUAUAAAAGAUUAAGAGAAAGAAUCUAUUACGUAUUAUAUUAUUCAUGUGUAUUAACUUUAGCUAGUAAAUAUAGAUUAAAAACAAUAAGUAAAACUAUUAAAAAAUUUGGUUAUAAUUUAAAUAUUAUUGAAAAUGAUAAAUUAAUUGCCAAUUUUCCAAGAAAUACUUUUGAUAAUAUCAAAAAAAUUGAAAAUCAUGGUAUAUUUAUAUAUAUAUCAGAAGCUAAAGUAACUGAUCCUUUUGAAUAUAUCGAUUCAAUUAAAUAUAUAUUACCUACAGCUAAAGCUAAUUUUAAUAAACCUUGUAGUAUUUGUAAUUCAACUAUUGAUGUAGAAAUACAUCAUGUUAAACAAUUACAUAGAGGUAUAUUAAAAGCACUUAAAGAUUAUAUUCUAGGUAGAAUAAUUACCAUAAACAGAAAACAAAUUCCAUUAUGUAAACAAUGUCAUAUUAAAACACAUAAAAAUAAAUUUAAAAAUAUAGGACCUGGUAUAUAAAAUCUAUUAUUAAUGAUACUCAAUAUGGAAAGCCGUAUGAUGGGAAACUAUCACGUACGGUUUGGGAAAGGCUCUUUAACACGUGGCAACAUAGGUUAAUUUGCUAUUUCAUUUUUAGUAGUUGGUCAU